ensembl:piRNA 21ur-4984 ncRNA
UCUUGCGAGUUAUUUUUCUAU